UACAGAGGGGGCAAGCGUUGUUCGGAAUUACUGGGCGUAAAGGGCUCGUAGGUGGCCAACUAAGUCAGACGUGAAAUCCCCAGGCUCAACUUGGGAACUGCGUCUGAUACUGGAUGGCUUGAAUUCGGGAGAGGGAUGCGGAAUUCCAGGUGUAGCGGUGAAAUGCGUAGAUAUCUGGAGGAACACCGGUGGCGAAGGCGGCAUCCUGGACCGAGAUUGACGCUGAUGCGCGAAAGCCAGGGGAGCAAACGGG
rnacentral:rRNA from 1 species